AUUGAACGCUGGCGGCAUGCUUUACACAUGCAAGUCGAGCGGCAGCGCGGGGGCAACCCUGGCGGCGAGCGGCGAACGGGUGAGUAAUGCAUCGGAACGUAUCCUGUAGUGGGGAAUAACUCACCGAAAGGUGAGCUAAUACCGCAUAAGCUCUGAGGAGGAAAGCGGGGGACCGAAAGGCCUCGCGCUGCAGGAGCGGCCGAUGUCCGAUUAGCUAGUUGGUGAGGUAAAGGCUCACCAAGGCGACGAUCGGUAGCUGGUCUGAGAGGAUGAUCAGCCACACUGGGACUGAGACACGGCCCAGACUCCUACGGGAGGCAGCAGUGGGGAAUUUUGGACAAUGGGGAAACCCUGAUCCAGCCAUGCCGCGUGAGUGAAGAAGGCCUCGGUUGUAAGACUCUUCGUACGGACGAAUAGCUUGGACGUAAUACUCUGAGUAGAUGACGGUA
rnacentral:rRNA from 1 species